AGACCUAAGACCUAGCUAAGAACCUGGACCCCAAGAAAACGGCGCCUCCCCAAAGAAAAGGAUUUCGAUCGUGAUUUUUCUUCGUUGGAGUACUGUAUCAGUUGGGAUUCAAGAUUAGCAAUUGGUUGUGGUGAAAUUAAUUACUAAGGGUACAAAAGAGCAGCUUCAAAUGGCGAAAAAGAAAGCAGUGAGCUGCGUGUUCAAACUUUGCUUCGUAUAACUCAACUAAAUGCCAAAGGCAGUACCGACUUAACCAAGGAGGAAUGAACCAUGAUAUAGGUUUUACCAUAUAUGACCAAGAUUGCUGCUGAAAACAAAUUGAUCUGCCGAAAAUUGUCUUUUUCCUCCUUCUUUCGUUUACUGCCUAAUUCGAUGAGAGCAAAGAGGACAAGUUCUCAAUCCACAAUCGUAGCUGGGCUCCAUUUUAAUCUACAUAGUAACUGUUCAAAUCAGUAGCCCCCAUGGAUUUCACGUUUCUUCACUCGCAUGGGCUGAAUUGAGCCCGUUUGCGGCUAGGCUCGUGAUUCCGUCCGAGCUUGAUUUCCAUUUCGAGUGUUGUCGAAGUUCUUUGGAAAUUCGAUUUGAGGUUCCGAUUUGCAAUUUCGGUAUUUUAGCCCAAGGAUUGUUGUUUUGUCUAGCCCGAUUGAUUUGCAAUUUUCAGCUUUGUUCAUCAAUAAAAGGUCCAUUUCUCAAUUUUCAUCCCCAUUACAUUUUGUUAUAUCUUGGUGCGCAUGUUGGUUGAUUUGCGAUUCUACGUUGUUUGAGUAGCAUGUCUUAGUUUUCAUUUAAAUUCUUUUAAUUAGUUUUUAUUUUGAUUGUGAUGUAUGUUGUCUUGUUUCUUGAAUAAAUGUUUUUAAUUGGGUAGAUUGAAAAAUUGGAGUUGUUUCUUUCUUGGCAAGAAAUAAGAAUGGGUCAUAAGGUGGGUCUUGAACCAUAAGGAAUCUAGUCAAGUAAUAGAUCAUGUUAGCUAGCCUAUUUGCUCCCCAAUAAAUGUCUUGUUCGCAAAUUUGGUAUCACAACAAUCUCAAAGAUUUGGAAAAAAUUCAAAUGUGCUAGUAUGCUAUAGGCACAUAUUAAUAAAUAAAAUAUCGUGAUUACGUACACAUACGCGUGACAUAGUUACGAUACCAAAAAAAAUCGAGGUAUGCGUUCGCGUAACUUCAGUCAAACUUUCUUAAUAAUAAUAAAGCGUUAUUAAUUGUGGACAUGUUCGCGUGAUAUGAUUUUUGACGCGCCAAACAAAAUGAAUACACGUACGCGUGACUCAUUUUCAAGAUAAUUCCAUAAUCACGAAUGUUCGAGUAAUUAAAAGCAGUAAAAGGUAAAUGCACAUAGGUUCUAAAAUAAGUAAUUAGACAACUUAAGCCAAGUACAAAUCGCUAAGUGACCGUGCUAGAACUACGGAACCCGGGAAUGCCUAACACCUUCUCCCAGGUUAACAGAAUUCCUUACAUAGAAUUUCUGGUUCGCAUUUUAAAUAAAGUCGAUUUCCUCGAUUUGGGAUUUUAAAAAUAAAUCGGUGACUUGGGACACCAAAUAAAUUAUCCCAAGUGGCGACUCUGAUAAAUUAAAUAAAUAAUCUCAUUUCGAAUCAUGUCACUUAAAUUGAAAAAACUCCUUUAUAUUACCCUUCGGGUGGUAAAAAUGAGGUGUGACAUGGAUAUUUAAUGGGUAUUGAAUUUUAGGCUUGGACCCGAGCAGGACCGGAGUGUCCAACCGAAGAGCAGCCCCCAAACAAACAGGUUCGGAUGCGGACGCGGUCCGCGAAAUAGCCAGACUUUGGGCACCCUCAUCCGCAGCUACCAAUGGUAUGGGCCUGGCAGAAGAAGCCAGCUGAUGGAAAGCAAGGGUAGGAGCCCUCGCCCUUCUCACUCCUCUCCGACCUGCCAAUGAGAGAAAUUUGACGAAACGAAGAUAUAAGGUAAAGGAAAAUACGGAGCGAAGAACAAAACGAUUAAGGCCGAAACAAGCCGACUCACCAGCAAAAGGUUUGUGCCCAAACCUCUCGUGGAAAGGUGCUCAUUCGCGAAUUUCCAUCGUGUGGGGAAGAAUCGAGCUCACCUACCCGUGAAUAUCAGCAACUUGCGAAGGAGGUAGCCUCUCGGUUGCAAAAACAAAAAACACUUGACGAGAUCACUAAAGGGAGGCAACCAACAACCAUUCAAAAUAAUAAUAAUAAUAAUAAUAAUAAUAAAAAGACCUACGGGCGAAAUUCCACGCCUCAGGAAACCCGCAGGGUUUGAUACCACAUGCUCUGUUCGAACAUAGAAGAAGUUCUCUCAGAAGCGGCGAUUGACCUUGCCAUCCAUCUUCACCACCAAACCCUUGGAUCCUCGGUGGCGAAGAUGAAUCAUUGUGCCCCUAUAAAAAUGGGGGACGAAGAGGUGAAGCAUGUGUUGUAGAGAAAUUCCCCGAUCAGCUACCUCCGCAUACUUGAUAAGCAUAAGGAAGAGUUUGUAUACGUACGGAGAAAGUUGAGCCGGACAUACCUCGUAGAAGCGGUAGAAGUCCACUGCCAAAGAAGGAAGGAGAAGCAUGUAUCCGAUGACAAAUGGAUAUGCAUAAAACGCAUAGUAGCCCGGGCGGUGUAUAUGCACUAUGUCACGACUCGCCGGAACCAAUUCAAUGUGAUCAGGGAUUCUCCAUUUGGUUUUAAACGCCGUGAGCGCAGCGGCAUCCAUCGUAGAAAUAACAAGUUCAAACUCAUCCUCAACAGGGCUCUUGAAGUCAGUCCCUGCCUUCCCUAGGCAGGGUACCACUUCGUCUACCGUCGAAAAACUUUCAUCCUCUACCAUAACCAUUCCCUCUUCGAGUGGAGGUAUCUUAUUUUUCGGUACCGGGGCACCAACGACUCUAUCAGGGUUGGAAGAUGCACUAGCCAUAUCUUUGGUCGAUCGCACAGAUCGGGAGUGUAAAGAAAGGAAGGUAACAGCUGAGAACUGUUAGCAAAAAAGGAAAUACGAGGGACUAGAGAAGAAGAAGGAAUGACUUAAGGUUUUCCUACGAACGAUUGGGGAACACUGCAUUCGAUGGAGAACUUUUCCCUAUUUAUAGGGAUACGAGUAUUUUGGGCAGGGAAACCAAAUGCCGCUAUUUUUUUUUGAAAAUAACGGAAGGGGCAUGAAAAAUGAUGCAACGCAUAGAAAACAUGCGCCAUAAUGACGCAUGAGGAGUUUAAUGACAUUCUGAACUGACGUGACGGUCUGAUGCAGCUCUCUAAACGUCACGUCGCUACCUCACCACGAGGUACUCGCCCAUCGCCCAAAAUGCUUAGAUUUCUCACAACCUUCGAACCGACAGGGUUCGCCCAUCGAGCUCGCCAAAGACGAUCCCAAUAGGCGGAGGGACUAACUGUGUGGGUCGAAAUCUGACCAAACAAGAAUUCGCAUGAUGAGGAACGGUAAAAAGUCAGUUGCGCCGAAGUCGUAUUCGCACAACGCUAUAGCGACAAGCACCUCGGCCACGACCGAGGUCAUGUACUUAGAAUGUUUGUACGGUGAAUUGGAUGUUACGGCAUUUCAGAGGAUCAAUCUGUAAUACAGUUAAAUGACUUAGGUACCCUGGCUAAUGACUGUUGUGUAAAUGAAAAUACCUAGUAUAUGUACUAGGGGGAUUCAUAAAUCACACACUUUUUCACUAACAGGGGAGAGGAAUUGGAGAAUCCAUCUCGAAAACGAGAGAAGGUUCAGAACCCUGCUAUUCAUUUUCUGUAGCCAUCGUUAUAGAAUAAAUAAAGACAUUCCCCCUGGUCAUUAAUGGUGAAUUCUUUCUUUCUUCUUUAUUUUACAUUGUGGAGUAACUAUGUCGAGAAUGAAUGUAAGCUCAUCAUAUACAUUAGGUUUUUUCCAUUAUCGUAAUGAGUUCAUGAGCUUAACAUUACUCAACUUUUCUUACUUAUCAUUUAUUAAUCUACAGUUAAUUAUAUUUGGCUAGGAUUUACUCAUUAUCCAUUUAUUAAAUUGGUUUAACUAAAAAUGGCUUAACACUUUUUGGUCAAACAACCAGAGAUCACAAAUAGUGAAAACGUAUGAUACAAAAUCACUAAGGUCAAAAUCUUGAUACAACAUGAGACUUGUGGUCACGUUGAUUAAUGUUGAGCCGUACUAUCAUUACCUGCUUUUAACAUUAAAUUAUUGAGCAGCCUGCAGGAUGAUGACAUUAUCACGUUGGCUUUUCUAAAUAGUUGACAACCAAUAUGUACUUGAUUAAUAUAAUAAUUUUUAAUUAACGAUAUUCAACUCUCUCAAAGUCUAACUCACAAAUAAGAACAAGCUUGGAAUCCAAUUUAUAUUUUCCAUGCCCAUUAUGCAGAACCUACAUUAUGCUGGUGGACAUAUACAUGGUGUACGGCAAAGGAGAGAAUACCUUCAUUUUCUUUAGUUGUAAUAAUAUUCUGAG
rnacentral:lncRNA from 1 species